CACUUUCAAUGUAAAGGCAUUUCUGUUCAUCUGCAACUCCAGUAGAGUUUUGGGCAUGUGGCAAUUAUGGAGGAUGAAGAAUGGAAACUCAGUGAGGAAAGCAUUAGGAGAAAAUGCAGAAAACCUCUGAGAAAUACAAAGUGUCCAAGGGCUGUGGAAUUGAAAAGCUAAAAUAUAUUAGUAUUGGAAAAGAGGUGGCACUUGAAAAGUCACCUGGAGUGAAUGCUGAUAAAUCUCUUGAAUCAAAUGGGCUACAUCCCUGUGUUUCAAAGGAAGGUAACAAGUAGAGGAGAAAAUUGGAUGCAUCCCAGAGCAGCUUCAUUAGUUUUAAUGGGAGCUGCCAUUUUCUAUCAGCACUGGGAUGACGCUGGGCUGCCUGUGACUGUCUGAUCCGGGGAGAAAUCACAUUACUGACUACCAUUGUCUAGAUUGAAUACCUGCCAUAAUAUUGCAGAUGUGUGAUU